rnacentral:rRNA from 2 species
AGCACGCCGCGUGAGUGAUGAAGGUUUUCGGAUCGUAAAGCUCUGUGGGUUAGGGAAGAACAAGUGCGAGAGUAACUGCUCGCACCUUGACGGUACCUAACCAGAAAGCCACGGCUAACUACGUGCCAGCAGCCGCGGUAAUACGUAGGUGGCAAGCGUUGUCCGGAAUUAUUGGGCGUAAAGGGCUCGCAGGCGGUUUCUUAAGUCUGAUGUGAAAGCCCCCGGCUCAACCGGGGAGGGUCAUUGGAAACUGGGAAACUUGAGUGCAGAAGAGGAGAGUGGAAUUCCACGUGUAGCGGUGAAAUGCGUAGAGAUGUGGAGGAACACCAGUGGCGAAGGCGACUCUCUGGUCUGUAACUGACGCUGAGGAGCGAAAGCGUGGGGAGCGAACAGGAUUAGAUACCCUGGUAGUCCACGCCGUAAACGAUGAGUGCUAAGUGUUAGGGGGUUUCCGCCCCUUAGUGCUGCAGCUAACGCAUUAAGCACUCCGCCUGGGGAGUACGGUCGCAAGACUGAAACUCAAAGGAAUUGACGGGGGCCCGCACAAGCGGUGGAGCAUGUGGUUUAAUUCGAAGCAACGCGAAGAACCUUACCAGGUCUUGACAUCCUCUGACAACCCUAGAGAUAGGGCUUUCCCUUCGGGGACAGAGUGACAGGUGGUGCAUGGUUGUCGUCAGCUCGUGUCGUGAGAUGUUGGGUUAAGUCCCGCAACGAGCGCAACCCUUGAUCUUAGUUGCCAGCAUUUAGUUGGGCACUCUAAGGUGACUGCCGGUGACAAAC